UACGAAGGGGGCGAGCGUUGUUCGGAAUCACUGGGCGUAAAGGGCGCGCAGGCGGCUUAUUUUGUCAGGCGUGAAAGCCCCGGGCUUAACCUGGGAACUGCGUUUGAUACGGAUGGGCUAGAGUUCGGGAGAGGAGAGUGGAAUUCCCAGUGUAGAGGUGAAAUUCGUAGAUAUUGGGAAGAACACCGGUGGCGAAGGCGGCUCUCUGGACCGAUACUGACGCUGAGCGCGAAAGCGUGGGGAGCAA
rnacentral:rRNA from 1 species